GAUGAACGCUAGCGGCAGGCCUAAUACAUGCAAGUCGAACGAGAUUAAGAGGCUUGCUUCUUAUGAAAGUGGCGCACGGGUGCGUAACGCGUAUGCAACCUACCUUAAUCAGGGGGAUAGCCCGAAGAAAUUCGGAUUAAGACCGCAUAAAAACACAGGAUAGCAUUAUCCAAUGUUCAAAUAUUUAUAGGAUUAAGAUGGGCAUGCGUGUCAUUAGCUAGUUGGCGGGGUAACGGCCCACCAAGGCGACGAUGACUAGGGGAUCUGAGAGGAUGACCCCCCACACUGGUACUGAGACACGGACCAGACUCCUACGGGAGGCAGCAGUAAGGAAUAUUGGUCAAUGGAGGGAACUCUGAGCCAGCCAUGCCGCGUGCAGGAAGACAGCCCUCUGGGUCGUAAACUGCUUUUAUUCGGGAAUAAACCUUUCUACGUGUAGGAAGCUGAAUGUACCGAAGGAAUAAGGAUCGGCUAACUCCGUG
rnacentral:rRNA from 1 species